AAGACCAUGAAAUGCUGUUUCAGCAAGACAAAGAGGAGAUGAACCAGCUUCAACAAGCACAACUGAAAGAAGAGUGCAGUGUGGAGGAUGAUAACUGCACGUUGUCUUCUUGUGAAAGCUUGGAGAAUUUUGGAGAUUUUAACAAAAAUUAAAAUUUGAAUGAAGGACAAGAGAACAACAAUUUACAUGCAUACAGGACUACAUUGAAUGAACUUGGUCAACAUGUGGCACAGGUUCUGUCUGAUUUGAUUCCUCCUCUGAAUCAUCAGAAAGUAAAUAAUGUUUGUAAAGUCAUUGAUGAGAUCUUCAGAGGAGUUAUAGAUGAGAUCUCAGAGGCCGCCUCUACAUAAAGUGUAU